rnacentral:rRNA from 1 species
UACAGAGGGUGCAAGCGUUAAUCGGAAUUACUGGGCGUAAAGCGUGCGUAGACGGUUAUGUAAGUCAGGUGUGAAAGCCCCGGGCUCAACCUGGGAAUUGCAUUUGAGACUGCAUAGCUAGGGUGCGGAAGAGGGAAGCGGAAUUUCCGGUGUAGCGGUGAAAUGCGUAGAUAUUGGGAGGAACACCAGUGGCGAAGGCGGCUACCUGGACCGGAACUGACGCUGAUGCGCGAAAGCGUGGGUAGCAAACAGG